rnacentral:tRNA from 1 species
GCGAAUGUAGCUCAACUGGUUAGAGCACCGGCUUGUGGUGCCGGGGGUUGUGGGUUCGAGUCCCAUCAUUCGCCCCA